rnacentral:rRNA from 1 species
UACGUAGGGUGCGAGCGUUGUCCGGAAUUAUUGGGCGUAAAGGGCUCGUAGGCGGUUUGUCGCGUCGGGUGUGAAAUCCUCUGGCUUAACUGGGUGCUUGCUUUCGAUACGGGCAGACUAGAGGUAUGCAGGGGAGAACGGAAUUCCCGGUGUAGUGGUGAAAUGCGUAGAUAUCGGGAGGAACACCAGUGGCGAAGGCGACUACCUGGCCUGUUCUUGACGCUGAGGCGCGAAAGCUAGGGGAGCAAACGGG